CAGAGGGAAGGGAGAGGGAGAAGCAGACUUCAUGCUGUGCACAGAGCCUGAUGUGGAGCUCAGUCUCAGGGCCCUGAGAUCAUAACGUGAGUCAAAGCAGAUGCUUAACUGACUGAGCCACCCAGGUGCCCUAAAAGGUUUUAUUUUUCAGUAAUCUCUAUAUCCAAGGUGAGACUCAAACAGCCCCUAGAUCAAGAAUCACAUGUUCCACCAGCUGAGUCAGCCAGGUGCCUCUACUGCAAUUUUUUGUAUCAUCUGUUUUCAUUCCUUUGUCUCUUGUUUACUGGAUUUGGUUUCUGUGUGUUUGUUUUUGCUUAAUUUUGUACUUUCUUGUAUUCCAUUCAGUAUACUAAAUUGACUUUUUACCUUUAAUAUUUUGGGAGGUUAUUUCAUCUAAGAAUGAGAAUACACAGUCUUUAUUAACAGAGUCUACCUUAAAUUAGUAUUAUGUCACUUCACCCACAAUGUGGAAAAAUUUCCUCGUCUUUUUUUGUCAUGACACAGAAGAUCAGCAUUAAGACAUAGGAGAGAUAUUUAAGAAUUCAUAUGGUUAAAAACCUCUACGAAUAGCAUCAAAUUGGAAAAUAUUUGAAAAAUACCUUAAUAUGUAAUACGUAGAAGAUAUUUCAUACUAGAGAGAAAUAUAAUGAAGAUAAUCAUUGUGAGAAAACCUUCAGCCAGAUUUCAAAUUUAAAUGUGCAUGGAAGAACUCAUACUGAAGAGAAAUGUUAUGAAUUUGGUGGAUGUGAAAAAAUAUUAUUCAUUUGUUAAAAUAUACAUAGGAUCACACACUGACACAAACCCUAUCAAUCUAAGGACUAUAGAGAGCGCUUCAGCUGUUCUUUGCAUUGUAGGACUCAUGUAAAAAAUCACAUUGGAAAAUAAUAUACAAAAUGUAGGAAAGCCAUUAUUCAUUCUUCAUCCAUUGCUGUAUAUGUAAAACUCCUGAAGCUAAGCCUUAUUUCAUAUAAUGUGAAAAAAAUCUUCCAUUUUUUCAUCUCUCAGAAAAAUGUGGAAAAUGCUACAUACAAUAAAUGUAAAAAUCGUGGAAAAAUCUUCAUUUGUCCUUCAUCCUUUAGGCACAUGUGAGAACUCAUAGUGAAAAUACCCCUUUGACUGUAGAAGGGUAUGAUAAAGUCUUUAUUUCUUCUAUGUCCCUUACUGUAGAUGUAAGAUUCACAUUGAGGUGAAGCCUUACAAAUAUAAGGAAUAUGGGAAAACCUUUACUUAUUUCUGAAACCUUACUCUACAAGUUGGAAAACAUAUCAAAAAGGAGUCCUAUACAUGUAAGAAAUGUGGGAAAGGCUACAGUUUCUCCUUUCCUUUCCUUUUAAUAACCACAAGCACUGGAGAGAGGCCUUAUAAUUGUAAAAUAAUGUGAUAAAUCCUUUCAUUUUUCAUAUUUUACUAUAUGUGUGAUAUUGCACAUUGGAAGAGAAAUAUUGUGAAUAUAUGAAAUACAGUAACUUCUGCCUUCUUAUUGCUUAGAUAAUGAGAAUUCAUACUGCCAAGAAUUUGUAUUAACAUCUGGAGUGUAGGAAAGUUUUAACUUGUAUCUAAUUCCUUCAAAGGCUUGUGAAAAUUCACAUCGGAGAGAAAGCAUAUUAGUGUAAGAAAUGUGGGAAAGUGCAUUUCCUAACACUUCAGUGCUUAUUUGAGAAGCUAUACAUUGAGGAGAAACCAUAAAAAUUUAAAGAAUGUCGAAAAGCUUUCAAGUCUUUCUCAUUUCUUAGUCAGCUAGUGAGAACUCAUACUGGGAUAUAGGGCUGUAAAGAAUGCAUAAAAUCCUUUAGUUUAUCUUCAUGCUUCAAAGACUAGUAAAAAGUCACCUUGGAGAAAAGCACAACAAACAUAAUCAAUGUGGGAAAGGCUUCAGGUGCAUCUAAUGUUUUAUUAUAUGUAAGGAAAUUCAUAUUGGAGGAAAAAUCUUUAAAAUGUUAUAAAUAUGGAAUUGUUUUAUUAGUGUCUCAUCUUUGAAGUGACUCCUAGCUCAUAAUUUCUAACUUUGUGUUUUCUAACAUAAAUCUUUGUGAUAUAACUGCUGCUUCCAAAUUCCUUGUAAGUGUAUCAUACAACUUCUGAUAAGUUAUUUUCCUUAUAGUUCACUAAUAUAUGGUAUCUUUUCCAUUGUGAAGUCUCCUUAGACUUAAGUUUUUUUAUUUUUUAAAUUUUUAAAAAAUAUUUAUUUAUUUAUGUAUUCAUGAGAGACACACACACACACACAGAGAGGCAGAGACACAGGCAGAGGGAGUAACAGGCUGCAUGCAGGAAGCCUGAUGCAGGACUCAAUCCCGGACUCCAGGAUCACACCCUGGACUGAAGGUGGCACUAAACCACUGAGCCACCUGGGCUGCCCCGACUUAAGUGUUUUUAGUAUGUAAGUAAGUGUAUUUGAAAAUUUUUGUUAUUCUUUCUAAUUAAUUUCUAUUCCUAUAUGUAAUGCAUGUGGUCAUUGUCAUAUUGAUUUUGGUACUAGUUGAGAUAAGUUAUUGAUUUUUACUAUUGAGAGAUCUGCAGAAUUUUUGUAGCUAAUGUAGCAUACAACCAUUUGUUUUGGUCAAUAAAUAGUCGAUGUAAGUAAAAAAUGUGAAAAGCUAUCAAAAAGGAUGGUUUCAUUAGACUUGGUAAUUUCACCUUUUGUGCUUUGCUCCUGCAAGUUGGACACAACACUUCGAGUUGAAGGGAGAGCCUUUGCAACCAUGAGAAUGAAAGCUGGGGGCAAUGAUGAUUGUGCUGGAUUGUGUUAUAUGAGACUUAGAACCACAUUUUCCAGACUCUUCUUUGCUAUAUGGUUGUAAGCUAGAAUUGGACAAGAGGAACCUGUAUGAAAUUUGGAAUUCAAAGUGAAUCCAUUAAUCUCAAAAGAAUGUACAAGCAGCAGAUUGACAGAUACAGAACUGUUCAGAAGUUCCAAACGUCAAAUUUGACUUCCUAACUAUUGGCUUUGUUGAAUAUCAGCCCCGAGCCAAUCACUAAGCACUUAAUUUCAGUUCUCUCAAAGGUGGCAGCUUCCACAAGCAUCUCCAUGAGCUCGCCAUUCAUAGUUCUACUUUGGUGGCUAGAUGUGCACAGCUGUUUGAAUUUUCUACAGUCAAACUGGCAUUUUCUUAUUGGUGUAUCAAGAUGUCAUGAUUAGAGACUUUUUCCAAUCCUCUGAUUCUCUUUUCUCCACGUUGUGAAAAAUGUAACUUCUGUAGAGAGCACAUAGUUCAAAAACAAUAUAAACAAAUGAGUAAUUGUGGUCCCCUUGUAGGUUGUUAAAUGGCUAUAGUAUCCCACUAUUGCCUGUUUCUGGACUCUUCCAAAAGAGAAAUAAACACCUUGCUAAUCUGUGGGUCAUGUUGUGAGAAUUUUAUGUUACUCAAAACUGAAUAAAACCCCCGAUGAUAAACCUAGUAUGUGUUAAGUCAAAAUAUCAGGGGCACCUGGGUGGCUGAGUUGGUUGAGCAUCUGCCUUCAGUUCAGGUCAUGAUCUUGGGGUCUGGGACUGAGCCCUGUGUCAGGCUCCCUACUCAGUGAAGAGUCUGCUUCUCCCUCUCCCUUUGCUCCUUACCCCCCAUGCUCACCCUCUCUCUCUCUCUGAUAAAGUCUUUAAAAACCCCAAAACCCCCAAUCAAUAUAAUUCAUCAUAUUAAUAGCAUAAAGGAGAACAUUUAUGUGAUCAUCUCAAUAAAUGCAUAGAAAGUCUUUGAAAAAUUCAGAAUGCACUUUGUGAAAAUUUUCGACACUCUAGAGAAUAGGAACAUCCUCAUUGUGGUAAAGAAUAUCUAUAAAAAUCCUACUAACAUAAUACUUAGUGAUGAAAUAUUGAAUGCUUCCCCAUAAUACUAGAGACAAAGCCAGAAAGUUAUCACUGUUCUGUUCAACAUUAUAAAGAAGGGUCUAGUCAAUGUAUGCAGGAAAAGUAAAUAAAAGACACAGAUACAUAAAAUAUUUGUCUUUAUUUACAGAUGACAUAAUUGCAUAUGUUGAAAAUCCUAAAGAACCUACAAGAAAACUACUGGGACUAAUGAGUAGAUUUAGCAAGGUUGAGGAUCUAAGGUUGAUUUAUAAAAAUCCAUUGUAUUUCCAGAUAACUGCAACAAAUGAAAAA
rnacentral:lncRNA from 1 species